UUUCCCAAAAAUAGAACUGACCGUUUUAUGACGCGAACGGGACACGAGGAACACAACAUAAAUGAUCGAUUAAGGGACAGGUAGAAAGAUUAUAAUAGAUAUAAGCACUAGAGACCGAUUUAACCACGGUAUAAUUUCAUAUUGCCGGAAUCACGGUAUCGUCUACCAGACUAUUUUCUAGUCAGAGUGAAUGGAUUUAUGACAGCCACGUGGAAUUGCGGCAAACUCAUAGCUGAAUACACUUCUUGGACCAGCCAAGUCUGACUGUACGGCCAAUGCUUAAGAUCAGAUAUGAAAAAACGGGUUGGAAUAAGUAACUCACCUUUCUUGAGCGCCUGCAAGGCUUCUGCCACGAGUUUUUGGUUCAAUCCACAGAGAUUUCCAGUCAGUUUCUCACACUUUUUGUGACAGGCCAUAUCACAAUCUAUUUUUAAACGUUCUGGGUCUUAUUCGUUUGAUUUUAUAAGAAAAUACCUUUGAUGCACCUUGUUUGUAUGAAAAAAGGUAAUUUAAUGCGA
rnacentral:misc_RNA from 1 species